rnacentral:rRNA from 1 species
CCUACGUGCGGCAGCAGUGGGGGAUAUUGCACAAUGGGGGGAACCCUGAUGCAGCGACGCCGCGUGGGUGAAGAAGCGCCUCGGCGCGUAAAGCCCUGUCAGCAGGGAAGAAAAUGACGGUACCUGAAGAAGAAGCCCCGGCUAACUACGUGCCAGCAGCCGCGGGAAUACGUAGGGGGCAAGCGCUAUCCGGAUUUAAUGGGUGUAAAGGGGGCGCAGACGGCGAUGCAAGCCAGGAGUGAAAGCCCGGGGCGCAACCCCGGGACGGCUCUUGGAACUGGGUGGCUGGAGUGCAGGAGGGGCGGGCGGAAUUCCUGGUGUAGCGGUGAAAUGCGUAGAUAUCAGGAGGAACACCAGUGGCGAAGGCGGCCUGCUGGACUGCAACUGACGUUGAGGCCCGAAAGCGUGGGGAGCAAACAGGAUUAGAUACCCGUGUAGUC